UGUGUGUGUGUUUGUUUGUGUAUGUGUAUGUGUAUCUUUAUAUAUGUGUAUCUAUAUAUAUGUAUCUAUAAUGUUGAACCAAUUCAAAGUUUUAUCCUGCUUUGUGGGAAGUAUGCAGAUUAGUCGUAAUCCAUAUAAGAGUGACAUGCUAAUCUAGAUGUAAAAUCAUGAAUUGAAGACAAAAGGCAGCUGGAUAAGUAACUUCAUGUAAUAAAGUUCUGUAUAAUAUAUGACUGUAAAGAUAUGAAAAAUUCUGAAAACACAUAGAUAUAACACAAUGAUAUCUUCCUGAAAUGAUAUUACCUCUAAAAGAUGAAUUCAAGAGUAUGAAAAAUUGUGAGAUCAGAAGUGGACUUUCAAAACAGGGACAAGCAGCUUCAGAGAAAUACAUUAUUAGCAGCCGCCUCUGCAUGAUAGCGACUGGCUAUAGAGAUUUUAUACCCUGUCAAGAUUACUUGGACAAUUGAUCCUGUUUCAAGUCACAUCACCUUGAUGCUGUGAAGAAGUAGCAAUGUGCAGACAGUUUGACUCUGGCUGUGCUAUGUCAUGUUCCCCAUGCUAUGUUAUCCAGGAUGCAGCAUGCCUUCUACCACAACUCUUCUCCUAGAGGCAAGCUUCCUGCCAGAUUUCAGCCUGCCCACACAGAAAAAAAUCUACCCUUUCUGUCACCUCCUUCACCCUGUCAACUGAAAACUCAUCUUUUGCCAGGUGAACACUCUUUUCUGCAAGCUGGACUUCACUAGUCCUUACUCUACCUCAAAGGUGGGCACCAAUGUUAUUCUUUGUGCCUCAUGUAAUAAACAGUACUAUAGGAUACUGGUGCCAGUUUCAUGAAAUGUUUUUCUUAGUACAAGUAUGUUAUAUCCAGGGAGCACAUCAACAAUUCCUUUUCCUGCCAUCAGUGUGACACAGGCUCUCAGAUGAAUUUGUUAGCAGCUCAUAUUGUGUUUCCUUAUGGUGAUGUCCACACCCCCAGACUAGUGGAAUCUUCCCUGAUAAACCUUUUUUUCCUGCUUCCCUCAUGCACAAUGUUACUUCUUCCUCUCCCUCUUGUAUACCUUCCUUUCUUUCACCUCUUCAGACCUUGAAGAUGAAGGACCUCAAAACUGCUGUCUUGUCUUUCAGAAAUUUGUGUUUGCAUCUACACUGUUGUAUCAACAAGGUAGAUUUUGUCAUUCAACAAAGAUUCUCUCCAUGGAGGCCUGUGCAGGGAGGGCAAAAUGAAUCACUUGCACUACUUUCUACUGCAUUAUUCCAUUGUAAAUACACACCUCAUUAACCAUAUCAUUGUAUUUGAAUAUUUAAAUCCUUUGCAUCAAAUGCUUAUUGGUUGUAAAACCUUGCUAUCUUCCCUUGCUAUCAUUACUGAAGAAUGAGUACACAGGUAAUGACCAUGCAUCUAAUAGACCAUCCUUUUAGUGGGCAUUUUGUCCAAGUGAUUCAGUCCUGCUCUCUCUGGGUAUAAAUUAUCUGUGUCAGUGCUCACCUGCUUCAUUCCAUUAUGUAUGUACACAUAUUGAAGAAGUACUUAAAUAAUAAAAAUGCUUCAUAUAAA
rnacentral:misc_RNA from 1 species